UACGUAGGGCGCAAGCGUUGUCCGGAAUUAUUGGGCGUAAAGAGCUCGUAGGCGGUCUGUCGCGUCGGCUGUGAAAACCCGAGGCUCAACCUCGGGCCUGCAGUCGAUACGGGCAGACUAGAGUGCUGUAGGGGAGACUGGAAUUCCUGGUGUAGCGGUGAAAUGCGCAGAUAUCAGGAGGAACACCGGUGGCGAAGGCGGAUCUCUGGGCCUUACCUGACGCUGGAGGAGCGAAAGCAUGGGGAGCAAACAGG
rnacentral:rRNA from 1 species